rnacentral:rRNA from 1 species
CCAUGCCGCGUGUGUGAAGAAGGCCUUCGGAUUGUAAAGCACUUUAAGUUGGGAGGAAGGCAGUAACCUAAUACCUUGCUGUUUGACGUUACCGACAGAAUAAGCACCGGCUAACUCUGUGCCAGCAGCCGCGGUAAU